GAUGAACGCUAGCUACAGGCUUAACACAUGCAAGUCGAGGGGUAACGAGAGGAAAGCUUGCUUUCCUUGUCGACGACCGGCGCACGGGUGAGUAACGCGUAUCCAACCUGCCCCCAACUAGGGAAUAACCUUGCGAAAGUAAGACUAAUACCCCAUAAUUUCCUCAGAUGUCAUCUGACGAGGAAUAAAGAUUUAUCGGUUGUGGAUGGGGAUGCGUCUGAUUAGCUUGUUGGCGGGGUAACGGCCCACCAAGGCAACGAUCAGUAGGGGUUCUGAGAGGAAGGUCCCCCACAUUGGAACUGAGAAACGGUCCAAACUCCUACGGGAGGCAGCAGUUAGGAAUAUUGAGCAAUGGGCGGAAGCCUGAACCAGCCAAGUAGCGUGCAGGAUGACGGCCCUAUGGGUUGUAAACUGCUUUUAUACAGGAAUAAAGUUAGCCACGUGUGGUUAUUUGUAGGUACUGUAUGAAUAAGGACCGGCUAAUUCCGUGCCAGCCGCAGCGGUAA
rnacentral:rRNA from 1 species